GAUGAACGCUGGCGGCGUGCUUAACACAUGCAAGUCGAACGGAAAGGCUCUUCCUUGCUGGGGUGCUCGAGUGGCGAACGGGUGAGUAACACGUGGGUGAUCUGCCCUGCACUUCGGGAUAAGCUUGGGAAACUGGGUCUAAUACCGGAUAGGACCAUGUUUUGGAUGCCAUUGUGGAAAGUUUUUCGGUGUGGGAUGAGCUCGCGGCCUAUCAGCUUGUUGGUGGGGUAAUGGCCUACCAAGGCGUCGACGGGUAGCCGGCCUGAGAGGGUGUACGGCCACAUUGGGACUGAGAUACGGCCCAGACUCCUACGGGAGGCAGAAGUGGGGAAUAUUGCACAAUGGGCGCAAGCCUGAUGCAGCGACGCCGCGUGGGGGAUGACGGCCUUCGGGUUGUAAACUCCUUUCGCUAGGGACGAAGCGCAAGUGACGGUACCUGGAGAAGAAGCACCGGCUAACUACGUG
rnacentral:rRNA from 1 species